AGCGAACGCUGGCGGCAGGCUUAACACAUGCAAGUCGAGCGGGCACUUUCGGGUGUCAGCGGCGGACGGGUGCGUAACGCGUGGGAACGUGCCCUCUGGUUCGGAAUAACUCAGGGAAACUUGAGCUAAUACCGGAUACGCCCUUUUGGGGAAAGGCUUGCUGCCGGAGGAUCGGCCCGCGUCUGAUUAGCUAGUUGGUGAGGUAACGGCUCACCAAGGCGACGAUCAGUAGCUGGUCUGAGAGGCUGAUCCGCCACACUGGGACUGAGACACGGCCCAGACUCCUACGGGAGGCAGCAGUGGGGAAUAUUGGACAAUGGGCGCAAGCCUGAUCCAGCCAUGCCGCGUGAGUGAUGAAGGCCUUAGGGUUGUAAAGCUCUUUUAUCCGGGACGAUAAUGACGGUACCGGAGGAAUAAGCCCCGGCUAACUUCGUG
rnacentral:rRNA from 1 species